AGCCACACAGCGAGCACAAAGCGAAUUAUUCUUUCGCCUUUUACUAAAGAAUACCGUGUGUGUGCUGUAAUUAGUGGCAUAUUCUAAUUUUUGUAGGGGUUCUUUCUUUGAUGCCC